rnacentral:misc_RNA from 1 species
AAGUCGUAACAAGGUUUCCGUAGGUGAACCUGCGGAAGGAUCAUUAACACUUUUGAAAGCAUCCAAUAUCAACUUUUUCCAACCAAACGGUCAACUAUCUCCUCCCUAUUUCGCACACCGGAGACGGUACGAGUAGGCUAACAUGUCAAUAAUUAAUUAACAAGCAAAUUGUUUGUUUGUUAGUUGGUUAUUUUCAAACACAAGAUAACCCCUUUUAAUUAUAUUAUUCAUUUAAUAUAAACGAACAACUCUUCGAUUUGCAACUUCUCUUUAAACCAGAAGAAACAAAAACGAACUAAACUAAAAUAUACAUUCGAUAUAUUUUUAUUUUACGAAAUAAUAUAUAUUUAUAAGAACAACUCUUAGCAAUGGAUAUCUUGGUUCUC